GACGAACGCUGGCGGCGUGCUUAACACAUGCAAGUCGAACGCUGAAGGCCUGGCUUUUGUUGGGUUGGAUGAGUGGCGAACGGGUGAGUAACACGUGAGUAACCUGCCCUCUUCUUUGGGAUAACGCCCGGAAACGGGUGCUAAUACUGGAUAUUCACUGAUCUUCGCAUGGGGGUUGGUGGAAAGGUUUGUUCUGGUGGGGGAUGGGCUCGCGGCCUAUCAGCUUGUUGGUGGGGUGAUGGCCUACCAAGGCUUUGACGGAUGGCCGGCCGGGGAGGGUGACCGGUCACGUGGGGACUGAGAUACGGCCCAGACUGCGACGGGAGGCAGCAGUGGGGAAUAUUGCACAAUGGGCGAAAGCCUGAUGCAGCGACGCAGCGUGAGGGAUGGAGGCCGUCGGGUUGUAAACCUCUUUCGCUCAUGGUCAAGCCGCAACUGUGGGUUGUGGUGAGGGUAGUGGGUAAAGAAGCGCCGGCUAACUACGU
rnacentral:rRNA from 1 species